rnacentral:rRNA from 1 species
CAGUCGCCGCGGUAAUACGAAGGGUGCAAGCGUUAAUCGGAAUUACUGGGCGUAAAGCGUGCGUAGGCGGUUUGUUAAGUCUGCUGUGAAAUCCCCGGGCUCAACCUGGGAAUGGCAGUGGAUACUGGCAAGCUAGAGUGUGUCAGAGGAUGGUGGAAUUCCCGGUGUAGCGGUGAAAUGCGUAGAGAUCGGGAGGAACAUCAGUGGCGAAGGCAGCCAUCUGGGACAACACUGACGCUGAGGCACGAAAGCGUGGGGAGCAAACAGGAUUAGAUACCCCGGUAGUCCCUGUCUCUUAUAC